UGCUGCUUCACUCUCUCUCUUUACAGAAAAGUUGUAGAAGUUUUCAGACGUGUCACUGCUGGAUGUGAGGAUGGGAGCCACUUUGCUCUGUGAGCUGGGCCUAUUCUUGCUCUGUACACUCCUCUGCACUGGACACACUCAAGAUGCUGUGCUAACUAUUGAACCCAACUGGUCCAGUUUUGUUAUUCAAGAGUUUGUUAUCUUCAUAUGUGACAUGAAUGAAGGUGAAGACACUGACUGGGAAUACAAAAUCAACAAGGAUAGUCAAGAAUUUGUUUCCUACAACGCACACAAAGUCUAUGCAUUAGAAAUUAGCUCUAAGGGUGACAGUGGUGAAUAUCAGUGCUCU